rnacentral:rRNA from 1 species
AGAGUUUGAUCCUGGCUCAGAGCGAACGCUGGCGGCGCGCUUAACACAUGCAAGUCGAACGAGUGUAGCAAUACACUCGUGGCGAACGGGUGCGUAACACGUGGACAACCUUCCUUCAGGUGGGGAAUAACCCAGCGAAAGUUGGGCUAAUACCGCAUAACACGACGAGGCACAUGCUCUUGUCUUCAAAGGAGCAAUUC